UCAGAAUAUGACCUUAUUUGGAAAUACAGUCGCUAUAGAUGUAAUUAAUUAAGAUGGGGUCCACAAGGUGGACUAAACCAAAAUGACUAAUGUCCUUAUAAAAUGGAAAAUGUGGACAAAGAGACACACACAGGGAUAACUAAGUAUAGAUGAAAACAGAGGUUGAGGCUGUGCUUCCUCAAGCCAAGGAACGCCAAGGACUGCUGAAUACCACAAGGAGCAGCUAGAGGAUGGGGCCCAUUCUCCCUCAUGGCCUCAGGAAGAACCAGCCCUGCCCACACCAUGAACUUAGACUUCUGGCCUCCAGAGCUGUGAGAUGACACAUUUCUGUUGUUUAAGCCCCUGGUUUGGUCUGUGGCACUUUGUUACAGCGGCCCUGGGAAACUCACACAGAGGGGCUGUCAGGAAGCUUCACAGAGAUGAUUUCAGAGGCAAAACGUGUCUGCCAGGUGGCUUGGGGAACGCAGCAGUCACCUGGUGAAAACAUCUACUGAGCAUUAAGGAAUAGCACAGAAGAGACAGCAAAGUAUCUACUACAAGGGACAUCUCACUUCCCUGGGACAAAGGGCUCCAAGAGGUCUGCAACCAAAAUAAAACUGUGUCAAGAAAUACGCAGUGAAACAGAAGGUGGAGACUUCGCUGGGAAGAGUAACAAGAUUGUAAACAGACUUGGGGGCUCCAACACUGAUGACUAAAUCCAGGUAAUGGCCUGGGAGCAGCGCAGCAGUCAGCACACACCCUGGCCAGCACCUUCAGCAGAAGAGACAUGGAUGCCCUGGCCAGAAAUUCACUACAAACACUUGGAAACCUGCAAUACUGGAAGGCUGCAGCACAAGCCAAUGAAAAGGAAACCCUGUUAUCUACUGGCAGAAGGGAGCCCAACAUCUUGCGCUAUCUCCCAAAUAAAACAGCACGACCACAGUAAGACACAACACAGUUAAGCAGCCAGAAAUGGGGUUGCUGGAAUCUGAACUCAGGCUGCCUGGCUCCAGAGCGCCUCCUCUUCCCUCCACUCCACAUUCCCUCUGACAAUCAGGAUGUCUCAGAUUAGACGUCUCCAAUUAGAAGCAAAAGCAAAAAGCAGAAGUGAACCACAGCAAUGUGUCCCAGCCUACCCAAGUGGGUCCUCUUGCUUCCUCCCUCUUUAAUGACGAAUGGUUAGUUAACGGCUUCCCAGCCUAAAUCUACAUUUUAUUAAGUCUUUUAUACGAUCAUAUAGCUGAUGUUGUUUUUCUUUUAACUACAGCAUUAAUUAAUCCUAGGGCACAUUAUGAGAGAUAUUCCAAUUACUUGCUUAAGUUUGAGUAGGCAGCAAGUGGAGAAGCAAGAAAUUGAAAUUUGAAAUUAAAACUAUGGUUUGGAGACUGUACUCUU